rnacentral:lncRNA from 1 species
CCAUUUGAUCUUAUGUAGCUCAAUUCAACAGAGCUAUAUUCGAAGUCUGCGACCUAGAUCACUCAAUUGCAAUAUCCGUCCAAAAGAAUAGAUUGUUGAUGGACGACUUCAAAAAGUCACUAUUGAAGACCUUUCUUCGAGAUUUUCCAAAAAUACUGGCUCAAACAAAGAAAUAUGUCCGAUUAAAAGAUUCUCUGAUGAAAGAAACCGUCUGAAUAACCCCAACUGUGAA